GUUUGAUCCUGGCUCAGAGCGAACGUUUGCGGCGGGCUUAACACAUGCAAGUCGAACGAGAAUCCCUUCGGGGAGGAAAGUGGCGCACGGGUGCGUAACACGUGGAUGACCUACCCCUUGGUUCGGGACAACAGCGGGAAACUGCUGCUAAUACCGGAUGUGUCGUAGCAAUACGAGAAAGGCCCGCAAGGGUCGCCAGAGGACGGGUCCGCGUCCCAUCAGCUAGUUGGUGAGGUAAUGGCUCACCAAGGCGAAGACGGGUAGCUGGUCUGAGAGGAUGAUCAGCCACACUGGAACUGAGACACGGUCCAGACUCCUACGGGAGGCAGCAGUGGGGAAUAUUGCGCAAUGGGCGAAAGCCUGACGCAGCCACGCCGCGUGAGCGAUGAAGGUCUUCGGAUCGUAAAGCUCUGUGGGGGAGAAGAAGAAAGUCGGUGAAGAGCCGGCCUGACGGUAUCCCCUUAGCAAGCACGGCUAACUCCGUGCCAGCAGCCGCGGUAAUACGGA
rnacentral:rRNA from 1 species